AUUGAACGCUGGCGGCAGGCCUAACACAUGCACGUAGAACGAGUGGCGGACGGGUGAGUAAUGUAUGGGAAUCUGCCUGGUGGAGGGGGAUACCUACUGGAAACGGUAGCUAAUACCGCAUACAAUCAGAUGACCCCAGAUGGGAGUAGCGUGUAGGUGGGAUAACGGCUCACCAAGGCGACGAUCCCUAGAUGGUCUGAGAGGAUGAUCAGCCACACUGGAACUGAGACACGGUCCAGCCGCCUACGGGAUGCAGCAGUGGGGAAUAUUGCACAAUGGGCGCAAGCCUGAUGCAGCCAUGCCGCGUGGAUGAAGAAGGCCUUCGGGUUGUAAAGUACUUUCAGCGGGGAGGCGUUACCCGCAGAAGAAGCACCGGCUAACUCCGUGCCAGCAGCCGCGGUAAUAC
rnacentral:rRNA from 1 species